UGAUGAACAUGUUUUCUUUUUUGUUUUGAACAGAAAAGGAAAUGUUUUUAUUAAUUGGAAAUAUUGUUUGUGUUGUAAUUGGGCAGCGGCCAGACAACCGUAGUGAUGGUAUCCACAGGUGGUGGGUUUUUUCACUCUCAUUCGUCUACUGAUUCCAUCUCACAUUU